UAACGCGUGAGGAACCUGCCUCAAAGAGGGGGACAACAGUUGGAAACGACUGCUAAUACCGCAUAAGCCCACGGCUCGGCAUCGAGCAGAGGGAAAAGGAGCAAUCCGCUUUGAGAUGGCCUCGCGUCCGAUUAGCUGGUUGGUGAGGUAAUGGCCCACCAAGGCGACGAUCCAUAGCCGGCCUGAGAGGGUGAACGGCCACAUUGGGACUGAGACACGGCCCAG
rnacentral:rRNA from 1 species